rnacentral:tRNA from 1 species
GUCCCUAUCGUCUAGCCCGGUCCAGGACAUCGCCCUUUCACGGCGGUAACGGGGGUUCGAAUCCCCCUGGGGACGCCA